AAAGAAGAAGCACCACAAGAAUAUAUCGCAGGAAACACAAGCCGCUCGCACGCACAGUGCCAUGCAAUACCAAGUAUCAUAAUGUUUCAAGCCAAUAACGAAUAACUAACGAUGAACACCUCAAGAGGAAUGAUGUAAUGAAAAUUCAAGUUUUCCACUAGUACAGCAGGCAAACCAGCAUUGCCCAAGUCAUAUAAGUUUGUUCAGCUUCUCGUAUACCUAGGAAUAUAAUUGAAAUAUCGAUUCUCCGCUCGUCGUACGACCUUUGGUUGACCCAAAUUGUCGCCUGAAGAUUCGUCGACUCGAACUCCUGGAGAAGAGUGCGUGUUCCCGAGUUGCAGUCCGUCUGUCAGGGCCCCCCUCCGGAAACAACCCAUAGUCAAUUCUCUCUCCGAAGAGAGAAACGAAAAGUGCAUCAUCCAGCUCUAUGGGCCCAGUGCCCAUACGCAUUAAUAUACGGUGUACAGGAGACAGAACGUGCAGCGGCCAUUCUAUUACACUCGUGAAUUUGUUAUUGCUCGCCCAUGCGUCAGCGCAUGCGUGCCUGGCUGAAGGAAAAAACAAGAAAACACAAAACUACAGUACCAAUAACAACAAUCGUGCACCCAGAGACCGAUACGAAUCUACGGAUAAAAACUACUUGUACGGCUGGGGUACUCUGUCUCAAAGCCCACCCCAUUGGCUCUCUGGCUCCCGUUUGAAAGGGUUGAAAAUUGAAUGCACAAUCACGAGGCUGAGGCGACCACCGGCUGAAAUGAGAUCGUUUGAAUUGCUAAUUGGCCCGAGCCCACCCUUCCUCGCCAUCCCCUGGGAUUAUAAUACUAUAUUCACCGGGGGAUCGGUACUGCGUCCCAGAAGGAAUUUCUCAGGGAGCGAUCGAAGGGGUGGAACUGUCUCUGGUAUUCCUGGCAUUUUUUAGUUUUCUUUCAAUGCUCGAACGGAGGAACCGUUCUAAAUAGAGCUCCGUCGAGGUGACGAGCAGCCAAAGAAACGAGGCCGGGUCGCUCGAUAUUCCAUGCCCGACAGUCUGCGUCUCGAUAUCUUCACUGAAAGGAAACGUCGAUGCAUUCGUCCUUGUCUCCGACGAUUUUCAUUCAAAGACGUCGAGGACGAGCAGGAGUCGCUUCUCUUGGAACGGAAUACGAUUCUUUCCCGUCGCCGAUACCAGUAACCCAGUUCUCUUUGUACUGUUUUGCAGUCUCGUAACUGCGCAAUGCGAAUCCCGACUAGAGUGCAGAGAGUCGAUGAUCGUCACUGUUAACCAGCAGUGUUUGCCCUGGUUGAUUAUGGACUUUUUCCCCCUGUCUGACAAUGCCGCAGCCUCCCGAAGUGGUACAGACAAAAGUACAUCCACGUUGGACCUGGUGCCUAGGCCAAAGAGUGACCCACGGCUAGGAUUUAACAGCAGUCGAAAGCUUCCCUUUUUAUUUGCCGGAAGGACGGCGAAGAAGAAAAAAAAUUGAGAGAAAAGAGGGCCGCCAGCCCCAUUGACGCCAUUGCUACCCUGCGCUAAGUCACGUGCGACUCCGAGAUGCGUUGCAGCGAUCGAUCUUCUGCGAUUUCCUACUGUGCGUGGAUUGCGUAGGUGUGUCCCUUGUUAUCAUCCCCCUAACGAAUCCCACGUGGAACUUCGACCUUAGGGGAUUGACGCGUAGCCUCGAGACGCCCGAGUCGUAGGUGGACGAUGGUGGCUGUCAGUCGUGCGCCGACUCCCGACCUGGUCGGAUGCGCAGGAAAUUGGAGCUCGACCCUGUACAGGACGUAUCAAAAGAUACACCUGUCACGUACGGCUGUACCCUCGGCCUGGUACGUGCACAGAGUGAGGAUCCAAGCACCGAUCAGCAGCUCGAUAUUCUCUGGUCCUGGAAUACCUUGCAAUUGAUGCUCUCGGAAGAUCAAUCAGGACCACCCCUUUCCCCGCAUGUCGAUCGUACGCUCACAGAGUAGCGCCGUCGGUAUAUUUCGUGAAAUUUACACAGUAUCUUUGGAUCUGAUUUUGAGGUCCCUCCUUUACCCCUGUGCUCCUACGCAUUAGGACUCAAUGAUAACGACUGCCGAUAAUGGCUAUCCCGAGCGAUCCCAUCCCGUCGCUACGGAGUUACCUAUGCGUAUGUGGGCACAUGGAAGCCGAAGAUCGGUCCUGCUGGUCGGCAUUACUUUGCGGAUCGUUCGCCGAGGUCAUGGUCAGCCGGCGUGCUGAAACCGAGAGUCAACAAACUCUGGCAGCCGCCAGCAAAGCGAUCCGCAGCCGGUUAGCCAACAGGCCAAACAUAACCUCGCCAGUCACCCAUGGCUCGUACCCUCGUACCUCCCCGCCUACGUAUUCCGGCUAUCUCGUGGACUAACUGUCCGCUAAAAAUAAUUCGCAAUCAUUAUUUAUAGCGCGGGGCUAAUGCGCCAGGAGCAGCAGCUCACCUCAGGUGUAACGCCGGUAC